rnacentral:lncRNA from 1 species
GAGGUUGAGAAAAGGAACAACUCUCAGAACAAGAUCAAAUUCCAAUUUCAUAUUCUUGGUACUUAGAGUUUUUAUGACACUUUUUAAAAUAAGUCACAUAGUUCAAUCCUACUCCUCAUUUAGCGCUCUAGAUCACUCAAAGUUUUUUUAGUAGUCCUCACCAAGGCAUGAAUGCCAACUUGUUUCAUCCUAUAACUAUAGGCUUAUAUGGGGCUUGGUAGGGAUAAACAAGGUAGCAUACUCUACUUUGCAAAUAUUGUUAAGUCAAAAACAAGGAUCCAAAGAGAGGAGUGUCAUAGUCAUAGAUCAAGAUGUGCAAGUGUGUUAUAUGGUGGACUAGGUUGCUCCUUUAUUUGCUACACUCUCUCUACUUGUAUAUUGAGACAUGGCUAGAUUUACUUUUUCUUCGAGCUUUAUGUGCUCAUUUUUUUUAUACUUCAUGGACUUGCACAUGUCCAUCUUUUCUUUUUCUUUUAUUUUGCCAAGCCUUUUAUGUCUCAUUUUCUAAACAAUAUUUAGAGAGGUGUUCUAACACUUAGAGUAUGGAGCAACCUAUUUAGUGGAUGCACAAUACAUGUGGUUGCGUACUUCCAGUGUAGAAGCAGCAUAUAUAUAUGUGGUGUGUACGUGAUCUUGAUCUUGUGACUAUGAUACAACUCUCACUAGGGUCAACAAGGUUUUGACAAAACUCAUUACAAAAGCAGGUUGCAUUUCAUAAAAUGGUU